UUAAGUUAUUAAGGGCGCAUGGUGGAUGCCUUGGCACUAGGAGCCGAUGAAGGACGGGACUAACACCGAUAUGCUUCGGGGAGCUGUAAGUAAGCUUUGAUCCGGAGAUUUCCGAAUGGGGGAACCCAACUUGUUAUGCAAGUUAUCACCUAAUGAAUAUAUAGUUAGGUUGAAGGUAGACGUUGUGAACUGAAACAUCUCAUUAGCAACAGGAAUAGAAAGAAAAAUCGAUACCGUCAGUAGCGGCGAGCGAAAUCGGUAGAGCCCAAACCAAAGUGCUUGCACUUUGGGGUUGUAGGACUGACAUUGUGGAGUUACAAAGUUAGCAUUUAGCAGAAUCAGCUGGGAAGCUGAGCGAGACAGGGUGAUAGCCCCGUAUGCGAAAAAUGUUGACCUCCCGUCAGGAUCCUGAGUACGGCCGGACACGUGAAAUCCGGUCGGAAUCCGCGAGGACCAUCUCGCAAGGCUAAAUACUCCCUAGUGACCGAUAGUGAACCAGUACCGUGAGGGAAAGGUGAAAAGCACCCCGGAAGGGGAGUGAAAAAGUUCCUGAAACCAUGUGCCUACAAGAAGUUAGAGCCCGUUAAUGGGUGAUAGCGUGCCUUUUGUAGAAUGAACCGGCGAGUUACGAUAACGUGCAAGGUUAAGGUGGAAAGACCGGAGCCGUAGCGAAAGCGAGUCUGAAAUGGGCGAAUUAGUACGUUGUUGUAGACCCGAAACCAGGUGACCUACCCAUGUCCAGGGUGAAGGUGCGGUAAAACGCACUGGAGGCCCGAACCCGUGCAUGUUGAAAAAUGCUGGGAUGAGGUGUGGGUAGCGGUGAAAUUCCAAUCGAACUUGGAGAUAGCUGGUUCUCUCCGAAAUAGCUUUAGGGCUAGCCUCGGAAUGUAGCGUGUUGGAGGUAGAGCACUGUUUUGGUGCGGGGCCCAUCUCGGGUUACCAAAUUAAGAUAAACUCCGAAUGCCAAUCACGUAUGUCCGGGAGUCAGACAGUGAGUGAUAAGAUCCAUUGUCGAAAGGGGAACAGCCCAGAUCGUCAGUUAAGGUCCCUAAGUGUGUGUUAAGUGGAAAAGGAUGUGGAGUUGCAUAGACAACUAGGAUGUUGGCUCAGAAGCAGCCACCAUUUAAAGAGUGCGUAAUAGCUCACUAGUCGAGUGAUUCUGCGCCGAAAAUGUACCGGGGCUAAACACACCACCGAAACUACGGGUGCCACGUAAGUGGCGCGAUAGGAGAGCGUUCUAAGGGCGAUGAAGUCAGACCGUGAGGACUGGUGGAGCGCUUAGAAGUGAGAAUGCCGGUAUGAGUAGCGAAAGACAGGUGAGAAUCCUGUCCACCGUAUGACUAAGGUUUCCUGGGGAAGGCUCGUCCUCCCAGGGUUAGUCGGGACCUAAGGCGAGGCCGAAAGGCGUAGUCGAUGGAUAACAGGUUGAGAUUCCUGUACCAGGUGAACAUGUUUGAACGAUGGAGGGACGCAGAAGGCUAACGGAUCCCAGCUGCUGGAUAUGCUGGGUUAAAUAAUAAGUCUUAGAUCGAGUUAAAUGCUUUAUCUUUUAAGGACAAGUUAUGAUGAGGACCGAAAUAAAGUAGGGAAGUCCGUGAUGUCACGCUGCCGAGAAAAGCUUCUAGUUAGUGUUUACCUGCCCGUACCGCAAACCGACACAGGUAGUCGAGGAGAGCAUCCUAAGGUGAGCGAGUGAACUCUCGUUAAGGAACUCGGCAAAAUGACCCCGUAACUUCGGGAGAAGGGGUGCUCAGCGAAAGCUGAGCCGCAGUGAAUAGGCCCAGGCGACUGUUUAUCAAAAACACAGGUUUCUGCAAAAUCGUAAGAUGACGUAUAGGGGCUGACGCCUGCCCGGUGCUGGAAGGUUAAAAGGAGUGCUUAGCUUCGGCGAAGGUACGAAUUGAAGCCCCAGUAAACGGCGGCCGUAACUAUAACGGUCCUAAGGUAGCGAAAUUCCUUGUCGGGUAAGUUCCGACCCGCACGAAA
rnacentral:rRNA from 1 species